GCCUCACUCAUCGCAGAAUGUCAGCAGAGGAAAGAUGACUUUUGCUGCAGUUGAUCCACACCCUCAGCUGUGCAUGAAGUUUUCCGUAGAUUCCCAG